GGGUGCGAUCAUACUAGUGUUAAUGCACCAGAUCCCAUCAGAACACUUGGGCUAGAGUAGUACUUGGAUGGGUGACCUCCCGGGAAGUCCUAGUGUUGCACCCU
rnacentral:rRNA from 1 species